rnacentral:RNase_P_RNA from 1 species
AAAGCCGGACAGACCGCCGCUGCGCGCUUCGGGUUCGCCCGGACCGCGGGGAGGAAAGUCCGGGCUCCGCAGGGCAGGGCGCUGGGUAACGCCCAGGGGGCGAAAUCCCCGGAAAGUGCCACAGAAAGCAGACCGCCUUGGAGCACGCCUUCAGGGCAAGGGUGAAACGGUGGGGUAAGAGCCCACCAGCUGCCGCGGCGACGCGGCAGGCUCGGCAAACCCCGUCCGGAGCAAGACCAAAUAGGGGAGGCGGCUGGCCCGGCCAUGCCUCCCGGGUAGGUUGCUGGAGGGCACAGGCAACUGUGUCCCUAGAGGAAUGGCGGUCGCCCCGCCGCAAGGCGGGGAACAGAACCCGGCUUAUCGUCCGGCUUUGCGA